GAAAUGCGAUAAGUAGUGUGAAUUGCAGAAUUCAGUGAAUCAUCGAAUCUUUGAACGCACAUUGCGCCCCUUGGUAUUCCAUGGGGCAUGCCUGUUCGAGCGUCAUUUGUACCCUCAAGCUCUGCUUGGUGUUGGGUGUUUGUCCCGUCUCCGCGCGUGGACUCGCCCCAAAGUGAUUGGCAGCCGGCGUACUGGUCCCGGAGCGCAGCACAUGUCGCGCAAACGAGUGCCUUGGUACGGCGGCGUCCAUAAGCCCCUCUCUCACGCUCUUGACCUCGGAUCAGGUAGGGAUACCCGUUGAACUUAAGC
rnacentral:misc_RNA from 1 species